rnacentral:rRNA from 1 species
GACGAACGCUGGCGGCGUGCCUAAUACAUGCAAGUCGAGCGAUGAUUAAAGAUAGCUUGCUAUUUUUAUGAAGAGCGGCGAACGGGUGAGUAACGCGUGGGAAAUCUGCCGAGUAGCGGGGGGCAACGUGUGGCAACGAACGCUAAUACCGCAUAACAAUGAGAAUAGCAUGAUUCUUAUUUGAAAGAAGCAAUUGCUUCACUACUUUAUGAUCCCGCGUUGUAUUAGCUAGUUGGUAGUGUAAAGGACUACCAAGGCGAUGAUACAUAGCCGACCUGAGAGGGUGAUCGGCCACACUGGGACUGAGACACGGCCCAGACUCCCACGGGAGGCAGCAGUAGGGAAUCUUCGGCAAUUGGGGCAACCCUGACCGAGCAACGCCGCGUGAGUGAAGAAGGUUUUCGGAUCGUAAAACUCUGUUGUUAGAGAAGAACGUUAAGUAGAGUGGAAAAUUACUUAAGUGACGGUAUCUAACCAGAAAGGGACGGCUAACUACGUGCCAGCAGCCGCAGUAA